rnacentral:rRNA from 1 species
ACGGGUGAGGAAUACAUCGGAAUCUACUCUGUCGUGGGGGAUAACGUAGGGAAACUUACGCUAAUGCCGCAUACGACCUACGGGUGAAAGCAGGGGAUCUUCGGACCUUGCGCGAUUGAAUGAGCCGAUGUCGGAUUAGCUAGUUGGCGGGGUAAAGGCCCACCAAGGCGACGAUCCGUAGCUGGUCUGAGAGGAUGAUCAGCCACACUGGAACUGAGACACGGUCCAGACUCCUACGGGAGGCAGCAGUGGGGAAUAUUGGACAAUGGGCGCAAGCCUGAUCCAGCCAUACCGCGUGGGUGAAGAAGGCCUUCGGGUUGUAAAGCCCUUUUGUUGGGAAAGAAAUCCAGCUGGCUAAUACCCGGUUGGGAUGACGGUACCCAAAGAAUAAGCACCGGCUAACUUCGUGCCAGCAGCCGCGGUAAUACGAAGGGUGCAAGCGUUACUCGGAAUUACUGGGCGUAAAGCGUGCGUAGGUGGUCGUUUAAGUCCGUUGUGAAAGCCCUGGGCUCAACCUGGGAACUGCAGUGGAUACUGGGCGACUAGAGUGUGGUAGAGGGUAGCGGAAUUCCUGGUGUAGC